CAGUAGCCGCGGUAAUACGUAGGUGGCAAGCGUUGUCCGGAAUUAUUGGGCGUAAAGGGCUCGCAGGCGGUUUCUUAAGUCUGAUGUGAAAGCCCCCGGCUCAACCGGGGAGGGUCAUUGGAAACUGGGAAACUUGAGUGCAGAAGAGGAGAGUGGAGUUCCACGUGUAGCGGUGAAAUGCGUAGAGAUGUGGAGGAACACCAGUGGCGAAGGCGACUCUCUGGUCUGUAACUGACGCUGAGGAGCGAAAGCGUGGGGAGCGAACAGGAUUAGAUACCCCUGUAGUCCCUGUCUCUUAUAA
rnacentral:rRNA from 1 species